UCUGUAUUUAUCUUGUUUACCUUCAGGGAUACGAGGUAGGGGACAGACAGGAGAGAGCUGGUGAUUCAUUAAGAAAACACACUUUGUGUUAAGAAGGAAAGAAAAACAGGAGAAGACAGGUUUGUAAGGAACCACCUGCCACCAAACUCGCUGCAGGUAGAUACGAUACAGCCCUGGCUCUUCUCCCGAACCUCCUUUUGUUUCUCCUGGGUGUGUGGCGCCUCCUCCCUGCGUUUGUGUUAGCUCUGCAAAAUACAAGUUAACGUGGGCUUGACACAAAGGAAGGGGACUUCUUUGAAAUAUGAUAUUAAAGGAGUCCAGAAGCGCAUCUAAGUUCCUUGCCCACAACGUGUGCUGGGAUGUGCAACCGCUGGGUUUGUGCACAGAGCGAAUGGCUCCCUAAAACAAGUUACAUGCCUCUCCGCUGUAGAAUCGUAACAAGAAGCACUUGCUCUGUGGAAACUCCGUGUGCUUUACUGAAACUACUUGUCUCUCUUUCCCACUGAACUGUCCCACUAUGAUCUCAUUGCCUUUUCUGGCAAGUGAAUUUCCGUGCAGUUCAGGAACCUGUGGUGAGAGAAAUGGGCACACACAGACAAUUGCUCCUUUCCUGAACGCACCAGGAAGCCUCCAUGGACUACUUCCCCGGUUUCUGACAUGCUAGGUGAAGUUACACUGUCCUGGGAAGGAACGCAGGAACACGAUGGAAUCAUGAUGGGGGAAGAAAUAUUUCAAGCUGCACACUGGAUAAUGAAGAAACAGAUCUGUUCGGUUCAUCUUGUCAAAGACCUGGAUGGUCACCGUCUCCACCCAACAGCUGGGACAGCGGUUGGUGAGAAUCUCUGCCAGUUGCUUCCCGUCAGCCUCCUCUACCUCCGUCGGGGAGAUGUGCUGGAACUCAUCUUUCAGAGAAAGGGUCCUCAGCAGAGCUUUGAAUUUGCUCAACUCGUCCUGGUGGAGCUGCUCCAGAAGAGGUUGCAGGUGGAAACCCAGCUGUGCAGAAGGUAGCAUCUUGACCUACGAGUGAGAUCUGAGCUUUUGGCAUUAAAGAAGUUUCAAGGGAAGAAAUGGAAAGAGACGGUGGAUUGGUACCCCUGUCUCAAAUGCUGACAGCUCCUGUGUCAGGAAAUGCGCUAGUCUCACUGCCUCACCUGCUGCUUUAAGAACAAACCCCCAGAAGAGGUAAAACCCACACAGAAGUCUUUCUUGGCUUGACACAGCAGUUCAUGUUUUGAGAGCCUGGGACCCUUUGGAGAAGACAGAAGUGUCUAAGUUAGGUAGAAGUCCGUGGUGCUGGGUCUCCUGUUUGCAGCAGAUCAUCUGCCAUUUUUUCAGUCAAUUUGAUGUACAAAUGAGCUAAUGAGAACCAUUGAUUUUAACUCUUAGUAGCAACUUGACAUGUCAUUAUCUUAGGAUGUUUAUGGGGCUUGACUUUUAAAUGAGGAUCUUGAGUUGAAAAUAUCUUAGCAGAUAUUCACCACCAUGCAGUUAAGUGGAAUGCCUCCUUAAUUUACUGUUGCUUAAAAAGAAAAUCAUUUCCUGACCCCAACAGACUUGGAUUUGAAAUCCUUGUCCUUUCAUAGUUGAGUGUUUGAGCCUAAAGGGUCCUGAGCUUGAAUUUCCAAUUGUCAGUCAAAUACACUGUCACCCACCUCAUUAAGUGUCUGUGGGCAUUCAUCUGUUCCAAUAAAAGAUUCUCUUGGAUGCCAAGAACAAGUUUAGAACUGAAGUGGCAGCUGUAAAGAUGGGUAAGAACCCUGCCUACUUGGUGUUUAUACCCAGUUUGAGUACACAGGUUGGGUGGGGAAGAAGUGGACACCUCACGAGCAAAUUCAAACAGAAGCAAGUGACAUAAAAAUAUGAGGACAAGUAACACAGAAAAGUAGAAGGUGAUUUUGGAUCACGUGACCAGGGACUUCUUGGAGGAAAGAUUAUUUCAGCUGAGAAGAUGACGAGUAGGAGCUGCCACUUAUGCGAAUUUGUAGGAGAUAAAGUUUGUUUUUUUUUUAAAUUUUGGGAGGGGCAAUUAGGUUUAUUUCUUUAUUUAUUUUAAUGGAGGUACUGGGGACUGAACCCAGGACCUCGUGCAUGCUAAGCUUGAGAGCCUUAAUGCCUUGAUUUUUUUUUUUUUCUAGUUUGCAGAGUCUCUCUGGGCCCUAUGCUCUCAAGUUUGUCUUCAGAUCACAUUUACAAGCAGAUUUCACACUUCUUCCCUUUUGAAAAGAGAUGAUGGCCAUUAGUCCCCCACCUCCUAGUGCCAUGGACGUGCCAGCCAGUGUUAAACGUGCAGCUUCGCCCUUGUUGAAAGGGUUAAAUGAGGUCUUGUGUAAAGACAAUCCUUUAAAACACGAGGGGAGUUUAGAGAGGUUAAGUGAGUGCCAAUUUUCAUCCAGAUGAAAAGUGUAGAGCGAAUAUUCUAACCAAAGCAGGCUUACUUCAGAACCUGUGAUCUCAAUUCCUCUGCUAAUUGAUUCAAAUAGGUAUCACCCUAACAUCCUUAGUAAUCAUGUGCUAAACCAGGAUGAUUCAGAAGAGAAAAAAGUCAACUGAUCGAACACAGAACAAACUGCUUGGUUAAUCUGGGAGACAGUAAGUGAGGUAUGUCAAUACUGAUGGGUUUUCAAGGUUGGUAAUUAUUAUACAAUACUUAUUCUGUAAUUACAGCAGAAAAGAGAAAAGUUAUACAUGCAACAUGACUCUAAUUUCAGGAACUAAGAGAGCCUUACAUGGAAAUAGCAAUGUCCCCCAGACAUUCGGUGGUGGUAUCUGCAUCGCAGUGCAGUGGGGAAAUUCUUACUGCUAAUCUUGUUCUUCUUGUCUUUAAUUAGAACGCGUUUGAUUUGUACGAGGACACCUCUAAUAAGAGAAUGAAUCAGUCACGUUACGGAGACCUGCCAGAGACAGACCCCCCAUAUCCUUUGUAUUUAGCAGACAAGAUUUCCAGAAGAGCAGUUUCAGGACAAUGGUUGGGUAGGAAGCGGGACUGCAAGGACUGAAACAUGCGUGAGUUGUUGUGACUUGGAGGCGUGAGUGUAGAAAGCUCCUGCUAGAAACGACUGGAGAGAAGUGAGAGAUUAGACACAGCUUUAGGGAGAGUGAGAGAUCAGAUACCAGCACCACAUGCCACCCCACGAACUCACUGUCAAGAGUCUCUGCACCCUUGAGAGCACGAGGCGUUUACACACAAAAUGUGUUAUUCUGCGUUGUUCUCAUUUGGGUGAAGUUAAUCCAAUUUAUAUUCAUAUUUCAGUGACUUCGGGAAGCCGAGUUUCAGCAAGAGAGAGAGAAAAAAACCUGUUUAAAGUUAUAGAAGGAGUCAUUGGCGGGGGCUCCCCUCCAAGAGUUUCUGUCUUUGCACAAAGAGGAGUUUGACUUGAAACCUCAGUAAUCCUUUAAAGGUUUGACAUUCAAACAUUCGAAGAAAGGAAGGAAGAAUUUUUAUUUAGAGACUUAGUUGAAUAAAGUAAGACACGAAGUGAAAAAGCAGGGCUGUUACUCACCUCUCCAGCACUCGGCCCUACCCCCGGCUGAGUGCUACAGGCACAGAAAACCGCCUGUAAAAGAGUUUCUCUUUAUUCCCAAGCUCUGUGAUUGGCCCUUGGGGCCCAAUCCCAUCGCAGAGAACUUCCUGCGUGAUGACUGACAGGUGGAGCCCAUUUCCUCAACUGGAACGUCAAAUUCUCCCAGACCAGCGGUUCCCAACCUUUGCCGCAUGUUGAACACUUCCCUGGGGCAUUAUUUCAAAGUAUCAAUGCUCAGACAUUCUGAUUUAUAAGUCAGAUUGCCGAUGCCCAGACAUCGGGGUUCUUUAAAGAUCCCCAGAUGAUUGUAAUUGUAGCCAAGCUUGACAACCACUGCUUAGAACCUUCAGCUGUGAUGAGCUGCCUCCUGUCAAACCAGAUACAUUAAAAUCCAUCCGUAUUUCACACUGAGUAGGAGACACGUUAAAUGCAAGAGGAGCACCAAGAGCCUACUUCAUCAGUUUCACACUGAUAACGUUAAUUUUUGUAGGCAGGUAAUAAGACUUCGAGAUUCGGGGUGUUGAAAGUCCACAAGUGAUAAAUGCUGGUGAGGGUGUGGAGGAAACAGAACCCUCCUUCACUGCUGGUGGGAAUGCAGUUUGGUGCAGCCACUGUGGACAACAGUAUGGAGAUUCCUUAAAAAGCUAAAAAUAGAGUUGCCAUAUGAUCCAGCAAUCCCACUCCUCGGCAUGUAUCCGGAAGAAACUCUAUCUCUAAAAGACAUGCACCCCAAUGCUCAUAGCAGUACUAUUUACAAUGACCAAGACAUGGAAGCAACCUAAAUGCCUAUUGACAGAUGACUGGAUAAAGAAGUUUUAUAGCACAGCCAUAAAAAAGAAUGAAAUAAUGCCAUUUGCAACAAUAUGGAUGAAUCUUGAGAUUAUCAUACUAAGUGAAGUAAGUCAGAAAGAGAAAGACAAAUAUCAUAUGAUAUCACUUAAAUGUGAAAUCUUAAAAAGUGAAACAAAUAAACUUAUUUACAAAACAGAAACAGACGCACAGACAUAGAAGACAAACUUAUGGUAGCCAAAGGGGAAAGGGGAGGAGGGAUAAAUUAGGAGUCUGGGAUUUGCAGAUACUGACUAUUAAAUAUAAAAUAGAUAAACAACAAGGUCCUGCUGUGCAGCACAGGGAACUCUAUUCAAUAGCUUGUAAUAACCUGUAAUGAAAAAGAAUGUAUAUGUAUAACUGAAUCAUCAUGCUCAAGACUAACACAACACUGUGAAUCAACUAUACAUCAAUUAAACAUUAGGGUUUUGAAGUUUUCAUGUUUUAGAACCAACAUAUCUGUAUCUGUGUCCACCUCUCCCCACCCCUCUCUAUCUGCUCAAAAUUGAAGUCUCCUAACCAACACGGUAUACUCUACAGUGAACUGAACACGGUAAGUUUAACACAAUAAAAUAAUACAACAGGCAAGUCAUAUAAGCCUCGUGUAUAAUUUUAAAUUUUAUAAUAGCUCCAUUAAAUAAGUAAAAGAAACCAGAUAAAAUUAAUUUUUUAUGAUAUAUUGAACCCAGUGUAUCCAAAAUACUAUUUCAGCAUGUAGUCAGUAUAAAAAUAAUUGAGGUAUUUUAUCUUCAACAUUUGGUGUUAAGGCUUCAAAAUCUGAUCUGUAUUUCACACUCAUGGCACAUUUCCACUUAGAUAACCCACGUUUCUGGUUUUCAGGAGCCACGUGUGUCCAGUGGCUGCCAUAUGGGCUAGGUCUAGACCCAAGGACAGGAAAGUGACCUCUGGCUUUAAAAGGGAGGAAGGUUAAGGGUUCCAAAGGACUGGUCUCCUGGCAUGGGGUUAUUUCUUUCACAUUCUUGAUAUCAUGUCCCAUAGUAAAAGGGAGAUAAACCUUGAACCUUCAGACCUGAGAAUCAACACAGCAAGAGCUGCCAUUCAGGUCACAGUGCUCGGAGAAGGACGUUCAUCCCUCUGCACCCACCUAGGCUGUGCCAGCUCGGUCAAGUUUCCUCACCUUUGCGCCUCAGUGCCUGCCUCAUAGGGUUUCAGGGUGGUGAGAAAGCUGCCUCCUUGCUGGAGAGACUGCGGCAGAGAUCUCGAUGCGGGCGGAAGGCGGAGGGCUCCGCUCCGGGCCCUGGCGGCAGAGGUACUGGGGAUUGAACCCGGGACCUUGUCAUGCUCAGCACGUGCUCUACCCCUGAGCCAUACCUUCCCCCCUCACCUAACUUUCUUCACCCACGAGACCACCGCUUGGCAAACCUUCUCUGUAAAUGGCAAGACAGUAAGUAUUUCGGGCUCUGUGCACCACAGUUCUCCAAGUUCUCCGCCCCAAAGACUGGACUUUGCUGUUGUGAUGGAAAAGGAGCCACAGGCAAUAUGUAAAUGAGCACGGACGCUCUGAUAAAGCUUUGUUUACAAAACAGGCAAUGGGCCAGAUUCGGCCCAUGAGUGAGCCUUUGCCAGUCCCUGGUCUGGUGUAAAACUGCAGGCUGAGGGCCGGUCUCCUGUUUCUGUAAGUGAAGGAUUGAUAAAACGGCCGCACUUAGGCUAACAGAUCACUUGUCCGUAAGCUCACCCUUAAACAGCCAACUGACCUGACUGACCGGCUGCUACUCACAGCUCCAGGCCCACUGUUAAAACUAAAGCUACUCACCUUACUGUUUCUACUUUAGUCCAGUCAUCAAAAGCUGUAAUCAUGCUUGGUCUCUGAGUCAAUACCCAGGGAGAAGGUCACAGGACUGUAACCUUACAAAAUAGCCUGAAUUACCAAGAAGACCACACCGUGAGAUCUAACCUCUGGCCUCCAUAGAAUUGGUCGCCUGGAGGCAUCAUGACGCCAUUCUGAGUCUUCUGAUGAGAAAAUGAUUCUGCUGAUUGUUCUGCUUUAUUGUUUGAGCUCUGGCUGUAUACCCACCCCACCCCACCCCCAAAGUGGGUUCACAGUUUUGAAGGCACCAGCCUGCUGUGAGUCCCCUUUGCCCGGCAAAGCAAUAAAGCUGCCUCGUUUUUUUUCUAAGCUCCAAGACCUUGUCUCUGGGUUAUUUGGCUCGUCAGGGAUGGGGCCGAUCCUUCGGCAACAUAAAUAAAGUUUUAUUGGAACACAGUCACACCAUUUAUAUUAACAGUUCGCUGACUUCUGCCCGACAUCACUGGUUCUCAACCUUGGCUGCCCCUUGGAAUAAUCUGGGAGCCUUAAGGAAUUUUACUGCUGGGGUCCCAUUCCAAUUGAAUCAAAUCAAACCUUAAUCUCAUCAAAAUGUGGCAGUGUGGGAGGAAGAAAUCUGGUUCCCAGGAUUUAAAACAAUUCUUUAGUUGAUCUGAAUAUGCAACCAAGCUUGAAAAAUCACAGUACCAAAGCCAUCUCUCUUAAGUUGAUGUCUCUUAAUUAUCUGUAUUAGAAACAGCUGGGAAUUUUAUAAAUGAUACUGUUUCCCAAGUCCUGUCCUUGGCUGAGUGAAGAAGCCACAGAGCCAAUCUUUAACCUUUCCCCUCCACCAUUCCCGUACCCCCCGUUAAUUCUUAGUCAAAUUGAAGUUUGGGAACAAUCGCAGGAGACCAGCGGUUGGCAAAUGUUUUCUAUCAAGGGCCAAAUAGUAAAUAUCUGAGAGCCAUCUGGCUCCUGUUGCAACUCUAACUCUACCACGAUGGUGUGAAAGCGGCCA